ensembl:lncRNA LINC01517 long intergenic non-protein coding RNA 1517
AACGUGCUGGGAUUACAGCCUGCAAGCAGCAGCUGGUGCCCAGCGUGCAAAUGUAUCACUACCAGCACCAGAGGUUAACAGAUACUACAGCUGGAGCUGCAGAAAGAGCCUCCUGAGGAGCUGGACUCUGCAGAUGAGAAUGAAAGCAGUGACUUUAUGGUGUACAGUCUGGACCUUCAAAUUGGAGGGGGUGAGGAGAACCCUAAAGCCCAGGCAUCGAUGGGGAAUUCUGGAGACAAAAGCUAAUUAAAGUUCAUUUCAAACCUG